GGGGUUGUAGCUCAGUGGUAGCACUUGCCUCGAAAGCAUGAGGCAGUAGGUCCGAUCCUCAACACCA
rnacentral:tRNA from 1 species